UCCCGUAGUGGAUCUGCGGGUUAGAGGAAAUGGGCUGCAGGGCGGAGACCAAGCCUUGGCCAACCGCGCUGCCGUAGCCAUUCCGCCCUGGCCUCUGCCGUGCUCCGCGGCGAUUCCGUCCAGACCGGAACCAGCGUGCGUCCGGCUCUCCUCCGCCGCUCUGGGACACCUCAUUCUGUCUGACGCUCAAGACCUGGCUUCGAGGUUUAUGGCCCUACGUCCCUCGACUACGGGUUGCCUGCCUGUCUGCAUCCUUUCAAGUUCCCUUAUUCAGCCUUUUAAGGAUUCAUAGUGGAUUUGGAAAGCCCCCUCUCUUCUCCACCAACUGCCCCGAGAGAACACCCACCGAAUCUUCCACUAAAAUGCCUGGGGACUGACGAAAAGGAACAAUGGGAGCUGUAUCCCACACAAGAGAUUUGGGGCCUGGGACCUGCAGGAAGAAGAGACAGGAGUACGGCAACCAGGGCAGGCAAAGCUUAAGGCUGAACCACAGGAGCACAUGGUGGGGUCAAGACAAAGGUUCUACAUCAUGAGAUCACAAGUGAAAGGUGGUGGUUUUACCUGAGUGGUAGGCUAGAGUACUUACCUGGAGGCAGGGAAGGUAGGGCGGAACUGGUGUCUUCCAGAGACAGACCAACACCCGGCCCCACUGUCACCUGAGGCGAAGAGCAGGGUGAGACCCCGAGCGGCAGCCUUCAUGAGCUCAGUGUUGACCCGCUGGAUGUAGGCGCUGCUGAGGGAGUCCUCAUCAUCUCCGUAGCUCACA